rnacentral:rRNA from 1 species
GAUGAACGCUGGCGGCGUGCCUAAUACAUGCAAGUCGAGCGAACGGACGAGAAGCUUGCUUCUCUGAUGUUAGCGGCGGACGGGUGAGUAACACGUGGAUAACCUACCUAUAAGACUGGGAUAACUUCGGGAAACCGUAGCUAAUACCGGAUAAUAUUUUGAACCGCAUGGUUCAAAAGUGAAAGACGGUCUUGCUGUCACUUAUAGAUGGAUCCGCGCUGCAUUAGCUAGUUGGUAAGGUAACGGCUUACCAAGGCAACGAUGCAUAGCCGACCUGAGAGGGUGAUCGGCCACACUGGAACUGAGACACGGUCCAGACUCCUACGGGAGGCAGCAGUAGGGAAUCUUCCGCAAAGGGCGAAAGCCUGACGGAGCAACGCCGCGUGAGUGAUGAAGGUCUUCGGAUCGUAAAACUCUGUUAUUAGGGAAGAACAUAUGUGUAAGUAACUGUGCACAUCUUGGCGGUACCUAAUCAGAAAGCCACGGCUAACUACGUG